GGGGGGGGGGGGGGGGGGGGGGGGGGGGGGGGGGGGGGGGGGGGGGGGGGGGGGGGGGGGGGGGGGGGGGGGGGGGACAAACCUUGGUGGCUUUGGGAGGGACAAACCUUGGUGGCUUUGGGAGGGACAGUAAUGGCUUUGGGGGAGAACAAACCUUGGUGGCUUUUGGGGGGGACAAACCCUUCUGGGGGUUGAGGAGCUGUGCCAGGAGGGGACACGGCUCUAGGGGGACACAUCUUGGUGGUUUUGGGGAAACAGACCUUGAGGAUUUGAGAGUGACAAACCUUGGUGGCUUCGGGGGGGACAAAUCCUUCUGGGGGUUGAGGAGCUGCUGGCAGAAGGGGAAACAGCUUGGGGGGGACAAACCGUGGUGGCUUUGGGGGGGACAAACCGUGGUGGCUUUGUGGAGACAGUGAUGGCUUUGGUGGUGACAAACCCUUCUGGGGGUUGAGGAGCUGCUGCCAGGAGGGGACAGAGCUCUGGGCAGGGGCUCCUUGGUGGCUUUAGGGUGACACACCUUGGUGGCUUUAGGAGGGACAGUGAUGCCUUUGGCAGGGGACAAACCCUUCUGAGGGUCGGAAAGCUUCGGCCAGGAGUGGACACAGCUCUGGGGACACACCUUGGUGGCUUUGGGAGGGACAGACCUUGGUGGCUUUGGGAGGGACAAACCCUUCUGGGGGCUGAGGAGCUGAGCUGUGGCUGCCAGGAGCUCUGUCCCCAGCCCUGCUCAGAUCAAACCCCACCAAUCUCUGCUUUUCUUGCUUUUUUCCCCCAAAUACACAAAACCCAGCUCCACCCAGACACCUCCACAGGUUCUGCUCCCAGCACCACCUUCCCUUGGCUGCUGCCCUUCCCAGGGCUGACCUUUGGGGCACAGCUUCCUCAGCCCUGGGACACGUCUGGGAGAUGCUUUUGGCCAGCCUGGGCCAGAGGGACAGACCGGGAUGGUGAUGGAGCCGUGCUGGGAAUGGAGGGAUGAGGCUGGGAAAGGGGCACUCCCUUCGUAAUCAGCAUUAAAAUCAGGAUGUUGGUCCCCUCCCAGCCGGGAAUAUCCUGGUUCUACCCUCCUGAAGGUGCUGGGAUUUUGUUGCACCUUGAUUUCCCCCCAGGUAUUUGCUGUGUGCGGCAUCGAGGCAGCUCUGCCUGUUGUUCCAAGAAAUAUUCCUACAUUUUCCAGCCUGAGCACUAAAUUGGUGGCUUUCA
rnacentral:lncRNA from 12 species